GUUAUCAAGUGAUGAAUAUUUUAAUUAAUCUUAGGACACCUUUGGACGCUGUUGCGAAUGAAAAUGAAUCUUAUUCUGAUGAUGAC
rnacentral:snoRNA from 1 species